rnacentral:rRNA from 1 species
CGUAGGGCGCAAGCGUUGUCCGGAAUCACUGGGCGUAAAGGGCGCGUAGGCGGCUGGGGAAGUCGGCGGUGAAAGCCCGGAGCUCAACUCCGGGUCGGCCGUCGAGACUCCUCGGCUCGAGCUCACUAGAGGCAGAUGGAAUUCCGGGUGUAGCGGUGGAAUGCGUAGAGAUCCGGAAGAACACCGGUGGCGAAGGCGGUCUGCUGGGGUGAGGCUGACGCUGAUGCGCGACAGCGUGGGGAGCAAACAGG